GAGGGAGCAAGGGAAGGAGGGUGAGGCGUAACAGGGAGACCGGGUGUCGGGAGAACCAGAGGAGAGGAGACUGGAAAGAAGCGGGGAAGUGUGCCUGGGGCAGCUUCCGAAGGGGAACGGCGGGGACAGAUGAGGGGGGCGCGAUUGCAACCAGAGCGCCCGCGAGCUCCCGGAUUUCUUCUCUUUCCUCGCUAUUUCCCGCACACACAGCCCUGCAGCCCUCCCUUCUUCCUUCCUGGCUUGUGAUUAGAACGCAGCCGCAGGCGGAAGUGCAGUGACGCCAUCAGCCGUCGCCUGAGCCGUGGCGCGCGGGUGGCCGAAAGGCGAAAGUGAGAUUUCAAGGGCCGGGUCUGGGGCCCCGCGGGCGCGCAGUGCUGCGGCGUGUGGGGAGUACGGGGAGGCUGGAGAGGAGCCGGCCCCGGGCAGUGUGAGGUGCGGAAGCGCGGUCCAGACACUUUGCUGACGGGAGGCCGGUCCGCCAGAUCCGGGAGGUGGGGCCUCGUUCUGGACUGCUGUACGUAGUUUUAUUCCUGGUCAUUUUUUUCCACCGCCAAAUCGAGAGAUAGAGCUUUGGAUCAUGAGAGAUGGCGUCGUGUUGGGAAAAGAGCCUUCUUUACCUGAGUUUAAGCUCGGCUCAUAGACAUCCUCUACCUGAGUUUACACGUGUGUAAUAUGAAGGCAGUCGAUUAGGAGAUGUCUAAGAUCAUUACUUACACCUCAAGUUUCCAAGGGGAGGAAGACACGGGAAGGAUGCGUGGUCUGUGCCAGACUUUGUAGACGAUUCACUGAAUGACCCUGAUUUAGCUCUUCCGGCCCUCUUCGAUUCAGCUUGGAAGCAAGCAUAAAUAGUGAUUGUUGUCUGUAUACUUCUCUCGGAAGGAAUGCUGUUAUGGGAGUUGUGGGUUCAUUUUUAGGUGUCUGAAGAAGUUUCAGGACUUUUGAAAUGAUAGUGGAGCCCAUUGAACUCAGAAUUAUCCCUUUCUGGUCUAGUAGGAGUAUAGUGGCAUACGGAAAAUGAAGCAAACAUCAAAGACAGAUGUACUGGCACAAGAUUAAAAAUAAGAAACAGAGGCAAAUGCAGGUUAAGGAACCUCACAGUAAGGGAUAAAACUCAUAUUUUAACCUGAUCUGCCUGAUUCUGGAGCCUGCACCAUCAUUCCAUUGUCGUGCUUGCCACAUGUUUCAUCGUUUUUCAGUCUCUUUGAGGCUUGCUAAAAUUGAUAUCCAUGAGUUCUAUCAAUUCUGGGACAGAGAACAAAUUGUGUUCUGUAAGGAUGGAGGGACAGCGAGGAAUUUGCCAAGGAGAAUGAUAAGGGGAGAGAGUAAGAAAGCAAUGAGAUACACAUGUCUUGACUGCUUCUCUUCAUGCUGAAAUCCUGGGGGAAAGAAGUGCUAAAUCAGUUGAGGACAUGGGAACAUUUAUUCUGCGCUGCUGUGUUAGGGUCUCCACGACUGAGCUGGUCCCAGCAAGAGGUGCCCAACAUGGAGGCUCGAACCCAGGUCGAAGGGUCACCAGAGUGAUGGUUGGAGAAUGUGGAACUAAGCUGGAGUACACCCGAGUACUCUUAAGCAAUCCCUGUGGACCGAAUCAACAGCUGAUUUGGAUACCAUCAAGACACCUGAAACCUUAUCACAAGCCAGAUGCCGAGUGAGAGAUUCUGGGAGGAUCCUGAGGACUCCCCAGUUGCAGCCAUGUCAAGACUGAUGCUGAGGAGGACCCCAACUGUCAUGAGCAACACCCGUCGAACACAGCCACCCACCUGGGGACGGAUCAAGAAGCUGUCGCAGAUGGCAGAAGAAAGCCUGAGGAAAGUGGGACAACCAGUCACAAUGAGUAAUUUAAUGUCUGCAGAUGUGGAUCCCGACUCCUGGGAGAAGCAGCUCACCAUGACAAAGCUGCCUUUGCUUUUAUCGCUUUGCAAAACAAAGAAGGCGGACAUGUUGGGAACAGGCCCUCAAAUCUGGCCAUAAACAGGUCCCAAAACUGUCCAUAAAGAAAAUCUCUGCAGCACUGUGACAUGUUCGUGAUGGCCAUGACACCCACGCUAAAGGUUGUGGGUUUACCGGAACGAGGGCAAAGAACACCUGGCCCACCCAGGGUGGAAAACUGCUUAAAGG
rnacentral:lncRNA from 1 species